GGCCGGAUAAGGCGUUCACGCCGCAUCCGGCAAUCAACGCCUGAUGCGACGAUUUGCGCGUCUUAUCCGGCA
rnacentral:ncRNA from 1 species